rnacentral:rRNA from 1 species
GACAGAGGUGGCGAGCGUUGUUCGGAUUUAUUGGGCGUAAAGCGAACGCAGGUGGUUUGGUAAGUCAGAGGUGAAAGACCACAGCUUAACUGUGGCACUGCCUUUGAUACUGCCUUUCUAGAGUGCAUGAGGGGGAAGCGGAAUUCCGAGUGUAGAGGUGAAAUUCGUAGAUAUUCGGAGGAACACCGGUGGCGAAGGCGGCUUCCUGGCAUGUAACUGACACUCAUGUUCGAAAGCGUGGGUAGCAAACAGGAUUAGAUACCCUGGUAGUCCACGCUGUAAACGAUGGGCACUAGGUGUGGGGGGUAUCCACUCCUCCCGUGCCGCAGCUAACGCAUUAAGUGCCCCGCCUGGGGAGUACGGCCGCAAGGUUAAAACUCAAAUGAAUUGACGG